rnacentral:pre_miRNA from 14 species
GUUGAGAGGAACGUUGUCUGGCUCGAGGUGAUGGAGAUGGAAGAGUACUCUCUACUCACUCAUCACUAACUUUCAAUCUCGGACCAGGCUUCAUUCCCCCCAGC